GCGGUGGAGCAUGUGGUUUAAUUCGAAGCAACGCGAAGAACCUUACCAGGCCUUGACAUGCUAGGAACCCGGGUGAAAGCCUGGGGUGCCCCGCGAGGGGAGCCCUAGCACAGGUGCUGCAUGGCCGUCGUCAGCUCGUGCCGUGAGGUGUUGGGUUAAGUCCCGCAACGAGCGCAACCCCCGCCGUUAGUUGCCAGCGGUUCGGCCGGGCACUCUAACGGGACUGCCGCGAAAGCGGGAGGAAGGAGGGGACGACGUCUGGUCAGCAUGGCCCUUACGGCCUGGGCGACACACGUGCUACAAUGGUUGGUACAACGAGUUGCGAGUCGGUGACGGCGAGCUAAUCUCUUAAAGCCAAUCUCAGUUCGGAUUGUAGGCUGCAACUCGCCUACAUGAGGUCGGAAUCGCUAGUAAUCGCGGAUCAGCACACUGCGGUGAAUACGUUCCCGGGCCUU
rnacentral:rRNA from 1 species